GUGGGGAAUAUUGCACAAUGGGGGAAACCCUGAUGCAGCGACGCCGCGUGAGUGAAGAAGUAUUUCGGUACGUAAAGCUCUAUCAGCAAGGAAGAAAAUGACGGUACUUGACUAAGAAGCCCCGGCUAACUACGUGCCAGCAGCCGCGGUAAUACGUAGGGGGCAAGCGUUAUCCGGAUUUACUGGGUGUAAAGGGAGCGUAGACGGUAUGGUAAGUCAGAUGUGAAAGCCCGGGGCUCAACCCCGGGACUGCAUUUGAAACUGUCAGACUAGAGUGCAGGAGAGGUAAGUGGAAUUCCUAGUGUAGCGGUGAAAUGCGUAGAUAUUAGGAGGAACACCAGUGGCGAAGGCGGCUUACUGGACUGUAACUGACGUUGAGGCUCGAAAGCGUGGGGAGCAAACAGGAUUAGAUACCCGGGUAGUCC
rnacentral:rRNA from 1 species